ACUCAAAGGAAUAGACGGGGGCCCGCACAAGCGGUGGAGCAUGUGGAUUAAUUCGUCACUAACCGAAGAACCUUACCCAGGUUUGACAUCUGUAGAACCCUGCUGAAAGGCGGGGGUGCCUUCGGGAGCUACAAGACAGGUGUUGCAUGGCUGUCGUCAGCUCGUGUCGUGAGAUGUUGGGUUAAGUCCCGCAACGAGCGCAACCCUCACCGUAUGUUGCCAGCGUAAAGUCGGGAACUCUUACGGAACUGCCCGUGCAAGCGGGAGGAAGGUGGGGAUGACGUCAAGUCGGCAUGGCCCUUACGCCUGGGGCUUCACACAUGCUACAAUGGGUGGCAACAAAGGGCAGCAAAACCGCGAGGUCAAGCGAAUCCCAAAAAUCCAUCCUCAGUUCGGAUUGCAGGCUGCAACUCGCCUGCAUGAAGCCGGAAUCGCUAGUAACCGCAGGUCAGCUAAACUGCGGUGAAUACGUUCCCGGGCCUUGUACACACCGCCCGU
rnacentral:rRNA from 1 species